UGUAGGUGACUGCGGAGGGAUCAUUACACAAUAAAAUACGAAGGCCGUUCGCGGCUGGACUAUUUAUUACCCUUGUCUUUUGCGCACUUGUUGUUUCCUGGGCGGGUUCGCUCGCCACCAGGACCACAAUAUAAACCUUUUUUAUGCAGUUGCAAUCAGCGUCAGUAUAACAAAUGUAAAUCAUUUACAACUUUCAACAACGGAUCUCUUGGUUCUGGCAUCGAUGAAGAACGCAGCGAAAUGCGAUACGUAGUGUGAAUUGCAGAAUUCAGUGAAUCAUCGAAUCUUUGAACGCACAUUGCGCCCUUUGGUAUUCCAAAGGGCAUGCCUGUUCGAGCGUCAUUUGUACCCUCAAGCUUUGCUUGGUGUUGGGCGUUUUUGUCUUUGGCCCGCCAAAGACUCGCCUUAAAAUGAUUGGCAGCCGGCCUACUGGUUUCGCAGCGCAGCACAUUUUUGCGCUUGCAAUCAGCAAAAGAGGACGGCAAUCCAUCAAGACUCCUUCUCACGUUUGACCUCGGAUCAGGUAGGGAUACCCGCUGAACUUAAGCAUAUCAAA
rnacentral:rRNA from 1 species